rnacentral:rRNA from 1 species
CUUCCUACGGGGCGCAGCAGUAGGGAAUCUUCCACAAUGGGCGAAAGCCUGCUGGAGCAACGCCGCGUGGGUGAAGAAGGUCUUCGGAUCGUAAAACCCUGUUGUUAGAGAAGAAAGUGCGUGAGAGUAACUGUUCACGUUUCGACGGUAUCUAACCAGAAAGCCACGGCUAACUACGUGCCAGCAGCCGCGGUAAUACGUAGGUGGCAAGCGUUAUCCGGAUUUAUUGGGCGUAAAGGGAACGCAGGCGGUCUUUUAAGCCUGAUGUGCAAGGCUUCGGCUUAACCGGAGUCGUGGAUUGGGCA